rnacentral:rRNA from 1 species
GCUAACUCCGUUCCGGGAGCCGGGGUAAUACGGGGUAUCCAAGCUUUAUCCGGGUUUAUUGGGUGUAAAGGGGGGGUAGGCGGCCUGAUAAGUCAGGGGUGAAAGACGGUAGCUCAACUAUCGCAGUGCCCUUGAUACUGCCGGGCUUGAAUGGACUAGAGGUAGGCGGAAUGAGACAAGUAGCGGUGAAAUGCAUAGAUAUGUCUCAGAACACCGAUUGCGAAGGCAGCUUACUAUGGUCUUAUUGACGCUGAGGCACGAAAGCGUGGGGAUCAAACAGGAUUAGAUACCCGUGUAGUC